UACGUAGGUGGCAAGCGUUGUCCGGAAUUAUUGGGCGUAAAGCGCGCGCAGGCGGUUUCUUAAGUCUGAUGUGAAAGCCCCCGGCUCAACCGGGGAGGGUCAUUGGAAACUGGGGAACUUGAGUACAGAAGAGGAGAGUGGAAUUCCACGUAUAGCGGUGAAAUGCGUAGAUAUGUGGAGGAACACCAGUGGCGAAGGCGACUCUCUGGUCUGUAACUGACGCUGAGGCGCGAAAGCGUGGGGAGCGAACAGG
rnacentral:rRNA from 1 species